rnacentral:rRNA from 1 species
UACAGAGGGUGCGAGCGUUUAAUCGGAAUUACUGGGCGUAAAGCGCACGUAGGCGGAUUGUUAAGUCAGGGGUGAAAUCCUGGAGCUCAACUCCAGAACUGCCUUGAUACUGGCGAUCUCGAGUCCGGGAGAGGUGAGUGGAACUGCGAGUGUAGAGGUGAAAUUCGUAGAUAUCGAGAGGAACACCGGUGGCGAAGGCGGCCAACUGGACGAAUACUGACGUGGAGACACGAAAGCGUGGGGAGCAAACAGG